GGGAGUAUAGCUCAGUGGUAGAGCGUCCGACUGCAGACCGGACGGUCCCCGGCUCGACCCCGGGUGCUCCCU
rnacentral:tRNA from 1 species